AGCAAUGUCAGUUCAAAAUGUAGGGACUAAUUAUCUAAAUAAAUUUCCAGUAAAGAAGUCAAUGAAAUAGUGUCAUAAUGAAAGAAGUAUUAAAAUGAUGUAUACGUGACUUUCCAGGAUACAUGUUAUAUGAAGAAAGGGGAAAUGGGGAAGGAGAUAUAUAGAAUGUGCAAACAUGAUGAUGUGUUUGUCCAUAAACUCUGAGACAGAGAAACAGUCACUAACUUGUGGUGUGGUAAUUAACCAAAUCCAAAUUAUGACUUCCAUAACCUAAAUCUGAAUUUGAAUUUAAUCCUGACUUCUUUUCCUGCAGCCAUAUUUUAGCCUCCAUAAGUUCAUAACAACAAUACUUAUUCAAAGAGCCAGUCUCGAUGCAACGGUAAGGUUGCUGCCACGGCUUUGCAAGCACAAGUUCGAGCUGUGGAAUCAACAUACAUUAGAUCACAAAGAGGAUCUAACCCCUAACAGGACCUCGCGCAUAACUGGAGCAUUAUAGAUUUAUAGUAACAAGUUUUCCCUUUGUCUUUUUUUUUAACAACAGCACUCAUUAAAGUUUACAUUGUUGUUGGAGGAAGAUUUUGAAGUUAACACAUGCUGUCAAGUCUUGCUACACAUUUAAAAAUUAGCCAAUGGCAAGAAUGCUUUCUGUGAUUGAUCACAAGCAUCUAGGAUUCUAGAUUGUACACUAGACAACAAGAACAAUCAAACCUUUUCCCACUAGUAUAUGAAGGUUGCUUUGUAGGUACAUAUGGGUCUAAUUUAGCUCAAAAUGAUAUCUUUCAUACUCCAAUGAAUUUCCUGGGAACUAAACAUGAAAACAGGCAUCGUAUCACAUUUCUGUGGACCGUACUAGAAGAAAUAGACUAUCUUACAAGGAUCUGAG
rnacentral:lncRNA from 1 species